GACGAACGCUGGCGGCGUGCUUAACACAUGCAAGUCGAACGGAAAGGCCCUGCUUUUGUGGGGUGCUCGAGUGGCGAACGGGUGAGUAACACGUGAGUAACCUGCCCUUGACUUUGGGAUAACUUCAGGAAACUGGGGCUAAUACCGGAUAGGAGCUCCUGCUGCAUGGUGGGGGUUGGAAAGUUUCGGCGGUUGGGGAUGGACUCGCGGCUUAUCAGCUUGUUGGUGGGGUAGUGGCUUACCAAGGCUUUGACGGGUAGCCGGCCUGAGAGGGUGACCGGCCACAUUGGGACUGAGAUACGGCCCAGACUCCUGCGGGAGGCAGCAGUGGGGAAUAUUGCACAAUGGGCGGAAGCCUGAUGCAGCAACGCCGCGUGCGGGAUGACGGCCUUCGGGUUGUAAACCGCUUUCGCCUGUGACGAAGCGUGAGUGACGGGAAUGGGUAAAGAAGCACCGGCGAACUACGU
rnacentral:rRNA from 1 species